GUGGGGAAUAUUCCGCAAUGGACGAAAGUCUGACGGAGCAACGCCGCGUGAGUGAUGAAGGUUUUCGGACUGUAAAGCUCUGUUGUUUAGGACGAAAGUGCCUGUUGCAAAUAGUUACAGGUAUUGACGGUACUGAACGAGGAAGCCACGGCUAACUACGUGCCAGCAGCCGCGGUAAUACGUAGGUGGCAAGCGUUGUCCGGAAUUAGUGGGCGUAAAGAGCAUGUAGGCGGGAAUCUAAGUCUGUUGUGAAAAUGCGGGGCUCAACCCCGUAUUGCGAUGGAAACUGGGUUUCUUGAGUGCAGGAGAGGAAAGGGGAAUUCCCAGUAUAGCGGUGAAAUGCGUAGAUAUUGGGAGGAACACCAGUGGCGAAGGCGCCUUUCUGGACUGUGUCUGACGCUGAGAUGCGAAAGCCAGGGUAGCGAACGGGAUUAGAUACCCGAGUAGUCC
rnacentral:rRNA from 1 species